rnacentral:rRNA from 1 species
AGAGUUUGAUCAUGGCUCAGAACGUACGCUGGCGGCACGCCUAACACAUGCAAGUCGAACGAAGUAGCAAUACUUAGUGGCAGACGGGUGAGUUGGUGUGGGUAUCUACCCUUUGGCCUGCAAUAACACGAGGAAACUUGUGCUAAUACCGGAUAAGUCUUUACGGAGAAAGCUUUAUGCACCAUUGGAUGAGCCCGCACUUGAUUAGUUUGUUGGUAGGGUAAUGGCCUACCAAGACUAUGAUCAAUAGCUGAUUUGAGAGGAUGAUCAGCCACAUUGGGACUGAGACACGGCCCAAACUCCUACGGGAGGCAACAGUGGGGAAUCUUGCACAAUGGAGGAAACUCUGAUGCAGCGAUGCCGCGUGAGUGAACAAGGCCCUUGGGUUGUAAAGCUCUUUCGUCGGGGAAGAAAAUGACUGUACCCGAAUAAGAAGGUCCGGCUAACUUCGUGCCAUCAGCCGCGGUAAUACGAAGGGACCUACCGUAGUUCGGAAUUACUGGGCUUAAAGAGUUCGUAGGUGGUUGAAAAAGUUGGUGGUGAAAUCCCCAGAGCUUAACUCUGGAACUGCCAUCAAAACUUUUCAGCUAGAGUAUGAUAGAGGAAAGCAGAAUUUCUAGUGUAGAGGUGAAAAUUCGUAGAUAUUAGAAAGAAUACCAAUUGCGAAGGCAGCUUUCUGGAUCAUUACUGACACUGAGGAACGAAAGCAUGGGUAGCGAAGAGGAUUAGAUACCCUCGUAGUCCAUGCCGUAAACGAUGUGUGUUAGACGUUGGAAAUUUAUUUUCAGUGUCGCAGGGAAACCGAUAAACUCACCGCCUGGUGAGUACGACCGCAAGGUUAAAACUCAAAUGAAUUGACGGGGACCCGCACAAGUAGUGGAGCAUGUGGUUUAAUUCGAAGAUACGCGCAGAACCUUACCAACACUUGACAUGUUCGUCGCGACUCUAAGAGAUUAGAGUUUUCGGUUCGGCCGGACGAAACACAGGUGUUGCAUGGCUGUCGUCAGCUCGUGUCGUGAGAUGUUGGGUUAAGUCCCGCAACGAGCGCAACCCUCACUUUUAGUUGCCAUCAUUAAGUUGGGCACUCUGAAAGAACUGCCAGUGAUAAGCUGGAGGAAGGUGGGGAUGACGUCAAGUCCUCAUGGCCCUUACGUGUUGGGCUACACACGUGCUACAAUGGCAUCUACAACAGGAAGCAAAACGGCAACGUUAAGCAGAUCCCGAAAAGAUGCCUCAGUUCGGAUUGCACUCUGCAACUCGAGUGCAUGAAGCUGGAAUUACUAGUAAUCGUGGAUCAGCGUGCCCCGGUGAAUGCGUUCCCGGCUCUUGUACACACCGCCCGUCACACCAUGGGAGUUGGUUCUACCUUAAGGCAAGGUUUCAAACCCUUGACCACGGUAUAGUCAGCGACUGGGGUGAAGUCGUAACAAGGUA